GCGGUGAAAUGCGUAGAUAUCUGGAGGAAUACCGGUGGCGAAGGCGGCAUCCUGGACCGGCAUUGACGCUGAAGCGCGAAAGCUAGGGGAGCAAACGGGAUUAGAUACCCCGGUAGUCCUAGCCCUAAACGAUGAAUGCUUGGUGUGGCGGGUAUCGAUCCCUGCCGUGCCGAAGCUAACGCAUUAAGCAUUCCGCCUGGGGAGUACGGUCGCAAGGCUGAAACUCAAAUGAAUUGACGG
rnacentral:rRNA from 1 species